GACGAACGCUGGCGGCGUGCUUAACACAUGCAAGUCGAACGGAAAGGCCCUGCUUUUGUGGGGUGCUCGAGUGGCGAACGGGUGAGUAACACGUGAGUAACCUGCCCUUGACUUUGGGAUAACUUCAGGAAACUGGGGCUAAUACCGGAUAGGAGCUCCUGCUGCAUGGUGGGGGUUGGAAAGUUUCGGCGGUUGGGGAUGGACUCGCGGCUUAUCAGCUUGUUGGUGGGGUAGUGGCUUACCAAGGCUUUGACGGGUAGCCGGCCUGAGAGGGUGACCGGCCACAUUGGGACUAAGAUACGGCCCAGACUCCUACGGGAGGCAGCAGUGGGGGAUAUUGCACGAUGGGCGGAAGCCUGAUGCAGCAACGCCGCGUGCGGGAUGACGGCCUUCGGGUUGUAAACCGCUUGCGCCUGUGACGAAGCGUGAGAGACGGUAAUGGAUAAAGAAGCACCGGCUAGCUACGUG
rnacentral:rRNA from 1 species